rnacentral:lncRNA from 1 species
CAAAUUUGUCUCAGUUUAUCGUUACUUUCACUUAUCGGCGCCAUUCCUUAUGUUUUGUUUUCCUUGUGUACUAUGUCAUAUUAGUGGGCGGGGCAAGUAUAACUAGCUAGGUUUGCGUGCACCGAGUAGGAUUUUUCACCUCAAUGCAGAACGAUCGCAGCUCUUAACUUGCAAUAGAAAUUAUAUAACACCAACCACAUUAUAUAUAAAACUUAUGCAGAACUUGACGCAAAAUCACUGAAGAUUUAACCAAAGAUUGGUAAUUGUUUAUUCUAAAACUUUGUAAAGAGAAUUUAAUAUCAUUGUUCGGAGAAUAUAAUAAA